rnacentral:tRNA from 1 species
CUGACCUUAGCUCAGUUGGUAAAGUGGUGGACUGUGGUUGGACUAAUCUAAAUUGGAAUCCUUAGGUCGCUGGUUUGAUUCCGGCAGGUUGGA